AUUGAGAUGCAAUAUGACCAAAACCCAAGCAUCUAAAACACUUGAUAUCUCUAUUCCUAGGAGUUUGCGAGUUAGAAAUACCUUUGUUUUUAUUAUCAUUAAUAUCUUUUGGCUUGGUUUUGUCAUCUCUUUUGAAUUGGACAGCCUUAUUAUCUCCCCUCCAAUUCGGCCUCCAAUUAAAAUUUUGGGCCGAAUAAGUGUUGGUUUGCCUUGUGUUCCCC
rnacentral:lncRNA from 1 species